GACGAACGCUGGCGGCGUGCUUAACACAUGCAAGUCGAACGGAAAGGCCCUGCUUUUGUGGGUGGCUCGAGUGGCGAACGGGUGAGUAACACGUGAGUAACCUGCCCUUGACUUUGGGAUAACUUCAGGAAACUGGGGCUAAUCCCGGAUAGGCGCUCCUGCUGCAUGGUGGGGGUUGGAAAGUUUCGGCGGUUGGGGAUGGACUCGCGGCUUAUCAGCUUGUUGGUGGGGUAGUGGCUUACCAAGGCUUUGACGGGUAGCCGGCCUGUGAGGGUGACAGGCUACAUUGGGACUGAGAGACGUCCCGGACUCCUACGGGGGGCAGCAGUGGGAAAGAUUGCACAAUGGGCGGAAGCCUGGUGCAGCAACGCCGCGGGCGGGAUGACGGCCUUCGGGUUGUAAACCGCUUGCGCCUGUGACGAAGCGUGAGUGACGGUAAUGGGUAAAGAAGCACCGGCUAACUACGUG
rnacentral:rRNA from 1 species